AGCUCCAAUAGCGUAUAUUAAAGUUGUUGCGGUUAAAAAGCUCGUAGUUGGAUUUCUUCUCUUGUCAGCCGGUCCUCACUUCGUGAGAGUAUCUGGUCAGAUUUGAGAAUCCUCUUGGGGAACGUCGCUGCGCUUGACUGCGUGGCACGGUAUCCAAGACUUUUACUUUGAGGAAAUUGGAGUGUUCACGGCAGGCAUUCGCCUUGUACACAUUAGCAUGGAAUAAUAAUAUAGGAUCGCGGUUCUAUUUUGUUGGUUUCUAGAGUUGCGAUAAUGAUUAAUAGGGACAAUUGGGGGCACUUGUAUUAACGCGCCAGAGGUGGAAUUCUUGGACUGCGUUACGACAAACUACUGCGAAAGCAUUUGCCAAGGAUGUUUUCA
rnacentral:rRNA from 1 species